CCUACGGGAGGCAGCAGUGAGGAAUAUUGGACAAUGGGCGUAAGCCUGAACCAGCCAAGUCGCGUGAGGGAUGAAGGUUCUAGGGAUCGUAAACCUCGUUUAUAAGGGAAUAAAGUGCGGGACGUGUCCCUUUUUGUAUGUACCUUAUUAAUAAGGAUCGGCUAACUCCGUGCCAGCAGCCCCGGUAAUACGGAGGAUCCGAGCGUUAUCCGGAUUUAUUGGGUUUAAAGGGUGCGUAGGCGGCCUUUUAAGUCUGCGGUGAAAGUCUGUGGCUCAACCAUAGAAUUGCCGUUGAAACUGGGAGGCUUGAGUGUGUUUGAGGAAGGCGGAAUGCGUGGUGUAGCGGUGAAAUGCUUAGAUAUCACGAAGAACCCCGGUUGCGAAGGCAGCCUGCUAAGCCAUGACUGACGCUGAUGCACGAAAGCGUGGGGAUCAAACAGGAUUAGAUACCCUUGUAGUC
rnacentral:rRNA from 1 species